CGCAUCUGUGCAUGCAGCAUAUCAAUAAGCGGAGGAAAAGAAACUAACAAGGAUUCCCCUAGUAACAGGCGAGUGAAGCGGGAAGAGCUCAAAUUUGAAAUCUUAAAGGGUUUCCCUUUACGAAUUGUAGUUUAAAGAAGUGUUUUCUGUUGAGGUUUUGGUAAAAGUUCUUUGGAAUAGGACAUCAUAGAGGGUGAGAAUCCCGUAUUUGACCUUUACUUUCAACUUUGUGAUACACUUUCAAAGAGUCGGAUUGUUUGGGAAUGCAGUCCAAAAUGGGUGGUAAAUUUCAUCUAAAGCUAAAUAUUGGCGAGAGACCGAUAGCGAACAAGUACCGUGAGGGAAAGAUGAAAAGAACUUUGAAAAGAGAGUUAAACAGUACGUGAAAUUGUCAAAAGGGAAGCGUUUGACACCAGUGUUGUUUUUCUGAAAAUCAAUUAAAGAACUGUUUAUGCUAAGCUGUUUAGACUUUAUCAGCUAUCUGUUUAGUUUUGAGCUUUUCUUUAAUGCACUUUUCAGUUAACAAGUCAACAUCAAUUUCUUUUGCUGUAAAAAAGCUUGAGGAAGGUGGCUUGAGAUUCGUCUUAAGUGUUUAUAGCCUCUUGCCUAUGCAGUCGGAGAGAUUGAGGUCUGCAGCGUAGAUCCUUCGGGGCUAAAUGCAUUUGUGCUAAGUUAUAGCAUUUUAUAGACAACUUGUUGACUAUGAUUUGUCUUGUAGCUUACUCGCUUAUGUUAUUUUACCUACGCUUAGGAUGUUGAGUCGUAGAGCACGCAG
rnacentral:rRNA from 1 species